UGGCCUGUUUCCUGAGAAGCCGAGGAAUGGUA
rnacentral:piRNA from 1 species